GCUCGGGUAGCUCAGUUGGUAGAGCGCUCCCCUGAAGAGGGAGAUGUCAUCAGUUCAAGUCUGAUCCCGAGCACCA
rnacentral:tRNA from 1 species